rnacentral:rRNA from 1 species
CCUACGGGUGACAGCAGUGAGGAAUAUUGGUCAAUGGACGAGAGUCUGAACCAGCCAAGUAGCGUGAAGGAUGACUGCCCUAUGGGUUGUAAACUUCUUUUAUAUGGGAAUAAAAUGUUCCACGUGUGGGAUUUUGUAUGUACCAUAUGAAUAAGGAUCGGCUAACGCCGUGCCAGCAGCCGCGGUAAUACGGAGGAUCCGAGCGUUAUCCGGAUUUAUUGGGUUUAAAGGGAGCGUAGGUGGAUUGUUAAGUCAGUUGUGAAAGUUUGCGGCUCAACCGUAAAAUUGCAGUUGAAACUGGCAGUCUUGAGUACAGUAGAGGUGGGCGGAAUUCGUGGUGUAGCGGUGAAAUGCUUAGAUAUCACGAAGAACUCCGAUUGCGAAGGCAGUUCACUGGACUGCAACUGACACUGAGGCUCGAAAGUGUGGGUAUCAAACAGGAUUAGAUACCCCUGUAGUC